rnacentral:piRNA from 1 species
UGGAGAUUAGAAACAGUAGGGGAUUCCAGU